GUCACUUUUUAUGUUUGUGGCAUUGCUCUGUAAAAUUUGAGUUUGUUUUACAUGUACAUUUGGUAUAUUUCCACUAACUAGUCUUACAACUGAGAUACCAAAUGAACAGUAUUUACACUGACAAUUUGAACUGUUGAUCUGACACUAACAUUCUUUUUAAGCACAAAGUGGUUCAGUGUUUAACUAAUCUUGCUUUCAUCUUCUCUCUCUGCUUGUGCUGCUUUACCCCAUCAACAGCAAACAAUGAAGAAAGCUGCAACGUCCUGUAGUGGUUAUAGCAUGUCCUCCCCUUAAUUACAGGUUUAUGUGGUUUGGCAAAGCCCAUCAUCUGAACAGAUACUACGUGACUGGGGGCCUUCAGAGGAGGUCCAGAGGAGUGGAGCAAGAACAAGGUCAGGGAAACAUGAUCCAGGAAGAAACCCCAAGCAGAGGCUGAUCAACCCCUAAAAGUGAAGACUGUCAACAGAUAUAGUCACAAUGUUCCCCUGCUGAAAAUUCUGGUGCCAAAGAGUGGAGUGAUUUUAACUCCCUAAACAGAAAAAUUUGUAGAAAAAUUACUUAUAGGCUUGAGCUGCAGGAAGGUGCAAUCAGGCUGGAUGCUGCAGUUUUCUGGGGGGACAGGUAUGGGAAGAUACAACAACUAAAACAUGGCAAGGUGCUAAAGACAGCUUAGACAGAAAUAGCUUGGGAAUGCAUUUGAAUUGUUUACAAACCCUUUGACAUUUUUCUUCUAACUAGUCUUUACAUUUCCCUUACCUGUAACUCAUUGCAUUUCUUCUUACUCUAAGACUUCCAAAUAAAGGUUUAUUGUCUUCCACAAAA